UACGUAGGGGGCAAGCGUUGUCCGGAAUUAUUGGGCGUAAAGAGCGUGUAGGCGGUCCGGUAAGUCAGCUGUGAAAGUCAAGGGCUCAACCCUUGAAUGCCGGUUGAUACUGUCGGGCUAGAGUCCGGAAGAGGCGAGUGGAAUUCCCGGUGUAGCGGUGAAAUGCGCAGAUAUCGGGAGGAACACCAAUGGCGAAGGCAGCUCGCUGGGACGGUACUGACGCUGAGACGGCGAAAGCG
rnacentral:rRNA from 1 species